rnacentral:rRNA from 1 species
GUACACGCUGUGACUAGCAUAUCAAUAAGCGGAGGAAAAGAAACUAACAAGGAUUCCCCUAGUAACGGCGAGUGAAGCGGGAAGAGCUCAAAUUUGAAAUCUUAAAGGGUUUCCCUUUACGAAUUGUAGUUUAAAGAAGUGUUUUCUGUUGAGGUUUUGGUAAAAGUUCUUUGGAAUAGGACAUCAUAGAGGGUGAGAAUCCCGUAUUUGACCUUUACUUUCAACUUUGUGAUACACUUUCAAAGAGUCGGAUUGUUUGGGAAUGCAGUCCAAAAUGGGUAGUAAAUUUCAUCUAAAGCUAAAUAUUGGCGAGAGACCGAUAGCGAACAAGUACCGUGAGGGAAAGAUGAAAAGAACUUUGAAAAGAGAGUUAAACAGUACGUGAAAUUGUCAAAAGGGAAGCGUUUGACACCAGUGUUGUUUUUCUGAAAAUCAAUUAAAGAACUGUUUAUGCUAAGUUGUUUAGACUUUAUCAGCUAACUGUUUAGUUUUGAGCUUUUCUUUAAUGCACUUUUCAGUUAACAAGUCAACAUCAAUUUCUUUUGCUGUAAAAAAGCUUGAGGAAGGUGGCUUGAGAUUCGUCUUAAGUGUUUAUAGCCUCUUGCCUAUGCAGUCGGAGAGAUUGAGGUCUGCAGCGUAGAUCCUUCGGGGCUAAAUGCAUUUGUGCUAAGUUAUAAGCAUUUUAUAGACAACUUGUUGACUAUGAUUUGUCUUGUAGCUUACUCGCUUAUGUUAUUUUACCUACGCUUAGGAUGUUGACAGCAGUAUAGACUGU